rnacentral:rRNA from 1 species
AACGAACGCUGGCGGCAGGCUUAACACAUGCAAGUCGAACGCCCCGCAAGGGGAGUGGCAGACGGGUGAGUAACGCGUGGGAACAUACCCUUUCCUGCGGAAUAGCUCUGGGAAACUGGAAUUAAUACCGCAUACGCCCUAAGGGGGAAAGAUUUAUCGGGGAAGGAUUGGCCCGCGUUGGAUUAGCUGGUUGGGGGGGUAAAGGCCUACCAAGGCGACGAUCCAUAGCUGGUCUGAGAGGAUGAUCAGCCACAUUGGGACUGAGACACGGCCCAGACUCCUACGGGAGGCAGCAGUGGGGAAUAUUGGACAAUGGGCGCAAGCCUGAUCCAGCCAUGCCGCGUGAGUGAUGAAGGCCUUAGGGUUGUAAAGCUCUUUCACCGAUGAAGAUAAUGACGGUAGUCGGAGAAGAAGCCCCGGCUAACUUCGUGCCAGCAGCCGCGGUAA